AGAUUGAACGCUGGCGGCAGGCCUAACACAUGCAAGUCGAGCGGCAGCACGGGUACUUGUACCUGGUGGCGAGCGGCGGACGGGUGAGUAAUGCCUAGGAAUCUGCCUGGUAGUGGGGGAUAACGCUCGGAAACGGACGCUAAUACCGCAUACGUCCUACGGGAGAAAGCAGGGGACCUUCGGGCCUUGCGCUAUCAGAUGAGCCUAGGUCGGAUUAGCUAGUUGGUGAGGUAAUGGCUCACCAAGGCGACGAUCCGUAACUGGUCUGAGAGGAUGAUCAGUCACACUGGAACUGAGACACGGUCCAGACUCCUACGGGAGGCAGCAGUGGGGAAUAUUGGACAAUGGGCGAAAGCCUGAUCCAGCCAUGCCGCGUGUGUGAAGAAGGUCUUCGGAUUGUAAAGCACUUUAAGUGGAGGAAGGCAGUUACCUAAUACGUAUCUGUUUGACGUUACGACAGAAUAAGCACCGGCUAACUCUGUGA
rnacentral:rRNA from 1 species